rnacentral:rRNA from 1 species
UGAGUGCGAGCUGCUACGGCAGCGAAGUUGGUGACGUCAAGCUUCCAAGAAAAGCCCUAUACCCGUUAAGGCAUCAUGGCCUGUACCCGAAACCGACACAGGUGGGGUGGUAGAGAAUACCGAGGGGCGCGAGGUAACUCUCUCUAAGGAACUCGGCAAAAUGGCCCCGUAACUUCGGGAGAAGGGGUGCCACCGCAAGGUGGUCGCAGUGAAGAGGCCCAGGCGACUGUUUACCAAAAACACAGGUCUCCGCUAAGUCGCAAGACGAUGUAUGGGGGCUGACGCCUGCCCAGUGCCGGAAGGUUAAGGAAGCUGGUCAGCGCAAGCGAAGCUGGCGACUGAAGCCCCGGUGAACGGCGGCCGUAACUAUAACGGUCCUAAGGUAGCGAAAUUCCUUGUCGGGUAAGUUCCGACCCGCACGAAAGGCGUAACGAUCUGGGCGCUGUCUCGGAGAGAGGCUCGGCGAAAUAGAAUUGUCUGUGAAGAUGCGGACUACGUGCACCCGGACAGAAAGACCCUAUGAAGCUUUACUGUAGCUUGGUAUUGUGCCCGGGCUCUGAAUGCGCAGGAUAGGUGGGAGGCUUUGAUCAUCGGCUUGCGGGUCGAUGUGAUCCAACGGUGAGAUACCACUCUUUCAGAGCUAGGGUUCUAACAGUCACCCGUUAUCCGGGGACUGGACAGUAUCAGGUGGGCAGUUUGACUGGGGCGGUCGCCUCCUAAAAGGUAACGGAGGCGCGCAAAGGUCUGCUCAGGCUGGUUGGAAAUCAGCCGACGAGUGUAAAAGCAGAAGCAGGCUUGACUGUGAGACCUACAAGUCGAACAGGGAGGAAACUCGGCUUUAGUGAUCCGACGGUUCUGCGUGGAAGGGCCGUCGCUCAACGGAUAAAAGUUACUCUAAGGAUAACAGGCUGAUCUCCCCCAAGAGUUCACAUCGACGGGGAGGUUUGGCACCUCGAUGUCGGCUCAUCGCAACCUGGGGCUGAAGUCGGUCCCAAGGGUUGGGCUGUUCGCCCAUUAAAGCGGUACGCGAGCUGGGUUCAGAACGUCGUGAGACAGUUCGGUCCAUAUCCGGUGCAUGCGCAGGAAUAUUGAGAGGAGUUCUCCCUAGUACGAGAGGACCGGGAGGAACGCACCUCUGGUGUACCAGUUAUCGUGCCAACGGUAAACGCUGGGUAGCCAUGUGCGGAGAGGAUAACCGCUGAAAGCAUCUAAGUGGGAAGCCCACCUCAAGAUGAGUAUUCCCAUGGCGUUAGCCAGUAAGGUCACGGGAAGAACACCCGUUGAUAGGCUCUAUGUGGAAGCGCAGUAAUGCGUGAAGCAGAGGAGUACUAAUAGACCGAGGGCUUGAC